UUCCUGAAGCAUCAUCAUCAGCAGCGAAGGCAACUAAUUCCAACAGUCAACCUGUCGCUGCAUAUCCUGCGGGGCCUACCUCUGUUCCUUAUGGUGGACCUGGCUCAUAUCCACCACCCCCAGCUGGAUAUGGAUAUCCACCACCCCCACCUGGAUAUGGAUACCCACCUCCACCACCAUAUGGCGGAUACCCACCGCCUCCACCACAAGGUUAUGGAUACCCACCACCGCCACCUGGAUAUGGAUAUCCACCUGUUCAAGGGGGGUAUGGGUACCCACCACCAGUGCAAGGGCAGCAGCCGCAAAAGAAGAAUAAAUUUGGGAUGGGCCUCGGGGCUGGAUUGCUAGGAGGAGCUAUUGGUGGGCUUUUGAUUGGAGAUAUGGUGUCUGAUGCUGCAGGAUUUGAUGAUGCUGGUGGGUUUGAUUUUUGAUGGUUUUUUUCUUUUUUCUUUUUCCAUGUUAAUUGAAUGGUAAUGGUUGGCUUGGAAAUGGUGGCUUUUGACUUUUCUAUAUCUUUGAUUUUUUUCUCUUUGGAUGGGUGUGGUUGCUGGGCCAAGAACACUAGGAUAUGAUAUCACAUCACUCUUAAGUAUUAAGAUUUAGGCUUCUAAGAUAUCAUCCUCUAUUCUAUUGUAUGUAUCAUGUCAUGUAAUAUUCUACAACAGUUUAUUACAUUUUCUACAAAAUAAUUUCAUCUUCUUUAUUUCUCAUUCCCAAAAGUCUCCUUUCUGUGUUCGGACAAUACUGAAGUGCUUAGAAGAGAUCCCAGUAGCUUUAAUAUCCAAGUAAGGAAAUGUCUUGCUGACUGGAGAGAGUUCCUGCUGCCACUGAUUAGAAAUUUUUGUUGUUUAUUCUGUGGAAUUUUGAUUUUGCAAUAAGCAUCAAGAAAACGCUAAUUCGAACUAGCUGGAUUAAAAACCAAAUUAUUCAAACUUGCCAAUGAAAAAGAUUAUAGCAACCAAAGCAACACAAAGCCUGUUACACAGCACAGCAAAAUGUUUCUAUGAACUGAUAUUCUCGGCUGCCAUCACAAACCAGCCUAGCUUAUUGCAGUUGCAGAGUAAGUCAUGUCAAACUCUCUCUAGAAGCCAGAAAAAUCGAAUAUUACUAUGUUAGAACAUGUUGUAAUCUCAUCUGUUGAUUGAUAAUAGAAGGAUUGAUAGAUCUACUGCAAGUCAUUUUUCCAACAUAUGAUACCUUUUUCCAGAAGCGUGAAAACAAAAAAGCCGAAGAUUAUUGAAAAAACCAAACAGAGAGAGCAUAUUAAGCAAUCUAUUUUUGUUAUCAAUGAAGCUUCAAUGCUCAAGACCAUGCUUUCAUGUAUCAUAACUCCUCAUUCUUAGGCUAGUUUUAGGCCAUGGCAAUCAAGGUUCAUGGAAUCCCUAUGUGCACAAGCACAGCCCUUGUAUUGCUUUGCCUGUCUGAGAAAGGCUUGGAGUAUGAGCUCGUGCCGGUCGAGAUGUCGAAGGGAGCUCAUAAGCAACAACCUUAUCUGUCUUUAAAUGUAUGAUCAACUUGAUGUUUGUUGAUCUUUGAAAUAUAAUUUAUAAACUUCAUCUUAUAUAUGAAGAUUAUUGGUUAUAUAAAUGAAAUGCUGGCAGAAAUUUCAUUUCUUUCUUGCUUGUAGCCAUUUGGGCAAAUGCCUGCAUUCGAAGACGGUGAUAUCAGUCUUUUGAUCAUUUGCGUCUUUGAUUGUUAAAACUACCUUAAUCUCUAAGUGAACCAGUAACUCUAUCCUGCACAAUUUGUUUUGUACAAACUUUUGCACCAUUGUCAAAGUCACGAGCAAUCUGCAACUACUUGGCACUUUAAUACAACGACACAAGAAUUGACCUCCUUCUGUCUAGUAGCUUUUCGGAGUCCACUGUUAGACCUCUGGAUAGAAGUGGAGGCUCACUUAUGCGAAUGAGCUACCAUUACCAAGAUACCUGUUAGAGGUAACAACUGGGCCAAUUAUAAGUUCUGGAACUAAGAAGAUCAAGAAGAAAUUAAUUGGGAUGAUUGGGUUGAUUUUGAAUAUUUAGAUUAACAAGUUGCAAAUUUGCUAGACUAGAUUUUUGUAUACUAUUUGGGUCAUAUUUGAAGUUAGAAUUUUUUUUGCAAUUCUAGUUAGGCUAGAAACAAAACAUCUCAAGCUUCUUAUCCAUAUAUGACAGAUCCAAUAAUUCAUCCAGACGAGAGAAAAUGACACGUUUGAAGUCAAGCCAGAAGUUAUUGUACGAGUUUUGCUAUUUGUUUCCUUAUGAUUCGUGGACUUCUUAUUUAAUAAGGAUUUUUUUUCCUUCAAGGAAAGCAUAGGUGACAACAACUAAGAUUAUUUUGGCAAGAGUUUCCAUGUCAGCAACUUGGAUUUCCUUUUGUUUUAUGAAUUUCCUCAUUAGCAAGGUUUCCUUAUCAUUAAAGGACAUUAGAGACGGUUUUUUGGCUUAUUUUUUCUAAUGCAUGAUUAUAUUCUAACAAAUAUAAUUUUCAAUUCAAUCCUUUUAUUGUCUUGAAGUUUUUUUUAGAAGAUUCCAUAGGCUUUGUUUCAUAUUCGGUUAAAAUUUCAUAGCAAUCAGACAUUAGGAAGGUCUUGCGAUAAAAUCUAGAAGCUAUUGUGCGAGAUUUGUAUUAGUUUCCUAGUUGAUUUAAGAUUAUUUUUCAUAUUUUAUUUAGGAUUUUUAUUAUUUUUCCAGCCUUAUUUAUGAUGUUUUUACAUAUUAUAAAUAGGACUAUUUAACUUGUAUUUUAUUUUUUUGUUUUUACAGUCUUUAAGAGGAAAUUCUUUUAGUUUGAUUUUUUAUUGAACUACUUUGACUUAACAUAAAAUUAGCCAAGCUUCAUGACAUCUUUUAUACUUCUUGUUUACGUCUCUCCAUAGGUGUUAGGUGGGGGUUUGGUUUUUAUAGUUUUGGUUCCUCGGUACACAAAUUAUUGUUGUGUCAAGUUUAAUCACAAGCCUGCAUUUAGCUUUCUUGAAAAGGAUCAAUUUGACUAUGGAUUUCUAGAUCUUUAUAUCCAUGGAUUUUGCAUCAGUUAAUAUCAAAGUAAGCUCUAAAAUUAGGUUAUAUCCCUUUAUUUUUUAGUUUCAAUGUUAUUUCAUUAUUAUCGUCAUCUAGAACAUAGUUGGGAAAAAGUUAAAAAAAAAAAGAAAGAUUAUUUGUGAUUUAGUUUUCUAUAAUUAAAGAAGAAGAAAAAGAAGAAGAAGAAGAAGAAGAGAAAUCAAAUAAACCACACCAGGGGAAAAAAAUAGGGUUUAGGUCGCAAAUUAGAGUUUUUCAUCAAAUCUGGGAUUCAACAAUUCAAAUAUAAAAAUUCUUAAUUAUUGGAAUAUCUUAGUGUCAUAUCUUGAUUUAAGGAUUAUUUAGACAUGCUUUGUCGGGUUAUUUCUAAAAAUUACAAAAAAAAAAUCAUAACAUCUUUACAUCAAAAAUUUCUUUUAUUGUUGAUUUCAGGUUUACUACACAAAAUUUGGUCCAAAAUAGUGUCUUUGCUUAGUUUGGGAUAUUUGAGUCUUAUUUCAUUAGUUUUUUUAUUCUUGUAAUUUUUUUUCAUGUAUUCGUAUCGUUCAUAUUUUGCACAAAUUCAUUUUUCUUUUCGCAAUUUUGUAUUUGCAGUUUCAUAUUGAUAGUUUUUUUAUUUUUUUAUUGUUUAUUGAGUCAAUAUAUUAUUUUGGAUUGCACCAUUAAGUCGUUAAUUUUUCUAAUUUGCUAUGAAUUAUUUUUUUAAAGAACUGAAUUUUUUUAGAUUAAGUGAUAAAAAGGUGAAAAGUAAACUUAUUAUAAUGAAAAGCCAAAAAUUUAUGUGAAAUACAAGAGGAGUGACAUCAAUUAAGUGUAACACAUGUGAGAGAUUAUGUGAUGCUAUAUUUUUCUUACUGCUAAUAUGACUUUCAAAUCUUGACGAUGUCAAGUAAAAGUGAAUUAUUACUUCCAAAGAAUAAAAAUAAUUCGGAAUAAGGUUAUUUGACUAUGCAACAACAAUUAAGGAUGAUGAACAAGAGAUUUCGAGAGGUUAUUUGACCACGCAACAACAACUAGAGAUGAUGAACAAGAUAUUUUGAGAGGUUAUGAAUGAGAUGACUGGAUUGAGAACCUUAAUAGCUAGCCUUCGGGAUGGGCUAGUCCGUAGAGAUUUUAAAGGUAGAAGGCCUGCCAGAUGAGCUAUUUCACCUCCACAUGAGUCCAUAAUAAAAAAUACAGAUGAGAAGGCUGAUGAUUUUGAUCAUGAACAUGGUUUUCAAAUCUUGAUGAUGUUAAGAAAAAGUGGGUCAUCACCGUCAAAGGAUAAAAAUAAUCUGGAAUGAGAUUAUUCAGUUAUGAAACAACAAUUAAAGAUGAUGAACAUGAAAUUUGGAGAGGUUAUGAAUGAGAUGGGUAGAUUGAGAAUCGAAGUAGCUAGCCUUCAACAUGGGUUAGUUUGUGAAGGUCCCAAGGGUGGAAGGCCUGCGAAACGAGCCACUUCACCUUCAGAUAAGCCUAUAACCAAAGUUAUAGAUGGGAAGGCUGAUGAUUUUAAUCGUGAACAUGACGUUAGGUUUCAACAACACAAGACCUGUAGACACGGGGGACUUUUGCCACAUGAUUAUUUUAUCCAUAUAAGAGCAUAUAAUAGUUUUCGUGAUGAUUUGGAUAGAAAUUUAUAGAAUAUUAAGAUAAAGAUUCUAGCUUUUUAGGGCAGAAACAAUCUUGAAGCAUAUUUGGAAUGAGAGAAAAAAGUAGAGUUAAUUAUUUAUUGUCACCAUUACUAUGAGGAAAAGAAGGUAAAACUUGUUGUUAUUAAGUUUAUAGACUAUGCUAUUAUUUGGUAGGAUCAAAUUGUUUUAGGUAGGAGAAGGAAUAAAAAAAGAGUCGUAAAGACUUGGGAUGAAAUAAAAGCAAUAAUAUGAAAAAGAUUUAUUCCUGGAUAUUAUUAUAGGAAAUUAUUUUAGAGAUUGUAAAGUUUUACUCAAUGGAUAAAGAGUUUGAAGGAUUGCCAUAAGGAGAUGAAGAUUGUCAUGAUUAGAGCUAAUGUUGUGGGUGAUAGAGAGGCUUAAAUGGAAAGGUUUUUAAAUGGUUUGAAUAGAAAGAUAGCUAAUGUGGUUAAAUUAUAACAUUAUAUUGAGUUAUAAUAUAUAAUAGUUAACAUGCCUACUAAGGUAGAUAUACAGUUGAGAAGAAAAGACAGUAAUUGCCAAUAAGGUAAUUCAGGUUAUUUUUUUAGCUUAAAAGCCGAAUUAUAGAAGAGAAUGGUUUUCCUAUUAAAAUCAAAUACAAUGAGAAGCAAAGACAGACCACUUAAAGCUAAAAAGAAGGAUUUGAACACUAUUGUCCAAGGUAAAACCAAAACUCAAACUAAUCAUAACAUACAUAUUGGGUGUUUCAAGUGUUUGGGUAAUGGAUAUACUGCUUCACAAUGUCCGAACAAAAGAGUUACAGUUAUGGAAGAACAUGAGGAGACUAAAUAUGAAAGCAACAAAUCCAAGGAGGAUGAUAUGCGACCUCUUGAGGAUUGUAGAGAUGUUAAGUAUCCAGUUGAUGGAGAUGCUUUAAUGAUUAAAAGAUCACUUAUUAUUCAACUUAAGUAUAAGAUAUAGAGCAAAAAAAGACAAAAGUCUUUCAUGCUAGAUGCCACAUAAAUAACAAGGGAAGUAGUAUGAUUAUUGAUAAUGAAAGUUGUGUUUAUAUUACUAGUGCUAUACUUGUUAGAAAAUUGAAUAUAAAUACUAUUAAUGAUGAAAAACCUUACUAUAGACUUCAAUGGUUGAAUGAAUGUGAUAAAGAUAGAGUUAUUAAACAAUUUUGAUUUCUUUUUUGGUUGGAAAGUAUAAGAAUGAGGUUUUGUGUGAUGAGAUACCUAUGUAUGCUACUCAUCUAUUAUUGGGGCAUCUUUGGUAAUUUGAUAAGAAAGUCAAACAUUAUGGGUUUAAAAAAAGAUAUUUUCUUGAAAAUGAUGGAAAGAUUUUCAAACUUAUACCAUUGUCUCCUAGAUAGAUUUAUGAAGACCAAUUAAAACUGGAAAAAAGAAGAAGAAAGAAAGGUGAAGUUCAAAGUACAAAACAACCAUGUAAGGAUGUGAGGAAGAGUGAAAAUAAUGGGAGCAUUGAGCGAACAAAUUUGGCCAAGGUAGAGAAGAAUAAGGUUUCCAUCAAGAGAGGAAAAAAAAUAGAAAGAAAAAAAAUGUGAGAAAAGAAAAGAAAGUGGAAAAAAUAAAGAAACAAAUUAGUGUAUAUUAAAAAAAGGAAUGAGAUUAAUGAUAUGCUUAUACGAGGAAACACUUCUCCUACCUCAAACUCAUGUCUUAUUGAGCAUGUUAUCCCAUUUUUAAAUUGGUUUAUUCCGCAACAGCAAAUGCUAAUCACAAUAUGGGUUCGAACGAAGCUAGUUUAGUUAUUAACAAAAUCGAAGUCAAUAAAAGUGCUACUAUGAAAAAAAUUAAACCUCAGGCUCGAGGACAAAGUCAACGAAGGUGCCUUAUUGAGCAUGUUAUCCCAUUUUUAAAUUGGUUUAUUCCACACCAUCAAAUACUAGUCACAAUAUGAGUUUGAACGAAGUUAGUUUAGUCAUUAAUAAAACCGAAAUCAACAAAGAUGCUACUAUGAAAAAAAAUUAAACCUCAGACUCGAGGAUGAAGUUAUAUAAUAAAAAGACCAACUUGCUAUAUUAAUAAUAUAUUAGAAGAUAUAUCAUAUGAAUAAGAUUUUAUAUGAAGAAUAUGAAAAAUGUAACAUCAAAAAUAGAUAAAAGCAAAUGUAUUGAUAGAUAUAAAAAAAAACUAAUUAAAUUAAAACUUUUUCUUUUUUCUAAUUAUUAAUUAGAAGAUUUAGGUUGGAUAAAUCCUAUUGAUUUGAUAUUUUAGUCGGCAAGGAUAGGAGGAAAUAUUUAUCAUACAACAACAAUAAUAAUAAAUAAAUAAAUAAAUAAAUAAAUAAAAACUGUAACCACCCAAUUGGGCUAGGUGUUUGAGCAGAUUCAUUUGAGUGGGCUAGGCUCUUUUAUGUCAAAAUAAAAGAAAAUCAGGCCCAGCUUGUUGUUUAGGUUAAAAAUAAUUAAAAUUUGGGAAGGAGCGAGCAUAUAUCAUCGCUAAAGUCUAAAACCCUAGUAGAGAAACCCUCCUUUUUUUGUUGCAGCCUUGAAUUCUCAAUCUAUAUCCCUUAUCCUCCUUUCGACAAAUCAAGAAACCAGAAAAGAUGAGGCCUUUGGACGAGAAAGAGAUGGGUGAAGUUUUCAAGAAACUGAUGUUGUUCACAGGAAACAACCUCAAAAACAUCAUUGAAAGCCCAUCACAUGAAGGACCAGACCCGAACCCAGGUCGGUACUGCUUCAGGCUCCACAAAAACAAGGUAUUUUACAUCAGUGAAUCAAUAGUGAAGCGAGCAACAAACAUUGGCCGCAAAAAUUUGGUAUCUUUAGGUACUUGUAUUGGGAAAUUCACUCAUAGGGGUGAUUUUAGAUUGACUACACAAUCACUGAAUUUAUUGGCUGCAAAUGCUAAAAAUAAAGUUUGGUUGAAGCCCACUUCAGAGAUGUCUUUUUUGUAUGGGAAUCAUGUGUUAAAAGGCGGGUUAGGGAAGAUUACUGAUAGUAUCAAUCAAAAUGAUGGGGUUGUCGUGUUUUCUAUGAGUGAUGUGCCUUUGGGGUUUGGAACCGCCGCCAGGUCGACACAGGAUUGUAGGAAGUGUGAUCCUAAUGGGAUUGUUGUGCAUCACUACUCUGAUAUUGGUGAGUAUUUGAGAGAUGAAGAUGAUCUUUGAGAAUCAUUUUACAGCCUUUUGGGAUUAUAGGCUGCUGCUGCUGCUGUUCUUGGUGUUGGUUUAAGAUAAUUAUGGGAGUGAUUUAAGUUCGAACUUGUUUAAUUUGGAUUAGUACGGGGUUUCUUCUUGUUAUUUUGUUUGCGAAUGUUAAUGAAAUUGAAGGUUUUCUUUCAUGGGUUUUGUCUUUAUGCUAAUUUUAAUGAGUGCAUUUCUACGUUGAGCUGUUCCUUUUCUGAGUUAGAUAGCAUAAGCUCAAUUUUAUAUCCUCAAGGCAGGUGAUUAAAUGAUUUUCAUGAUCAACGAAUGUGAGCAAUGAAGUCCUUAGUUCAAUUAUUUGGACUGUAAUGAACAUUUGCUGCACAAGAUCAUCUGCUUCCAUAUUUGUGUGGCUGGAUUUGUAUGGGAUGCAAAUUGGAAUGGCUAGUUGUGUAUGCUUUUACAAAAGGCUUUGUAGAGUGCUUAGGCUGUGCUGGAUUGUAUUCUUCUUUAAUUGGUAUGUAUGCUUGUUUUUUUUCUGCAGGAUAGGUGCUUAUGUGCACUAAUCAUGCCGCACAAACAAGUUAUUGAUAUUUGAGAUUGUUUCUCUGGCUUUACAAAUAAAUGAUUGAGUAAAUUUAAUUUUGAUCAAUGAAAAGAUAUUAUUUGUUUCAUUUUUGUGUUGGGCUCAUGGAAAGUAGAUUGCAUUGGAAUGCUGAUGAUACGUUAGCAUGUAGUACAGCUUCAAUUGUGUUUGUUUCUUGCAUAUCGAUUUCCUCCUAUUUUGCUAAUGUACCUCAUCUAGCAGUGUUGUUCUGUUUUCUGGCUGCUGGGGUUACAGAAACUAUAACUAACGGUUUGUGAACAGCAAUUGGUGGUGAUUAUUGAGCAUUUAGGAAUGCAAAUGAUCAAGUGGCCAGUAGGGUAGUGAAUAACUGUGCAGCAUGCAAUUUGACAAUGUGAUCAAGGAAAAUGAAUGGACCACUUGUGUAUAUUCUCAUAAUUUGAGAUUAUGCAUGAUCUUUUACGCUUUCCUUAUUCAUACUGAUUUACUAGAAUUCUAAACUGUAUUAUAGAUUGAGUUAAAGAUCAAUUUAUUGCCUGAACAUCAUAUUGACUUUGAAACUUAUUUUGUCAUACACCAUGGUUAGAUUAUGUGAUACAUACUAUUUUGAUAUAUACGUCAUUAAGUGAAGUUGUUUUGAUAUAUGUAUACUAUCGUUUCUUAGUAAAAAAAAAUUAUUGUAUGCUAUUAACAAUUUUAAACUAUGUCAUGUAAAAGAACAUUUCAAUCCAAAAGAUUACUUUGUUAGGUGAUCUCCAGGCUAUGAUACAAUAACAUCUCGACUUAAAAGCUUAAGUUGUGAGGUAAGACUCGAAACAUGAUUUAUAUUAUACUUUAACAUGCCACACUAGAUUUAGAUAAGAUAGUUCUAAACACAGUUUACAUCUUCUCCUUCAUUUCCCAAUAAAAACUGGAGUGCUUCUCCACUCUCCAAACAAGGCGGUUACUUGUGGAGUGGCCUGCUCCAUGGCAAUGUUCAAUUUUUUCUUUACCGACAGCACCUUUGGCAUGCUGCUCUGUAGUUGUUUAAGUUCAUUAGUAAUGUUUUGUAUCUGGUGUUUUAAAGUGUGUGUGUGUGUGUUACUGUUUUGACCUUUGGCAUGCUGCUCUGUAGUUGUUUAAGUUCAUCAGUAAUGUUUUGUAUCUGGUGUCUUAAAGUGUAUGUGGGUGUGUGUGUGUGUGUAUUACUGUUUUGACCACAUGCAUGUACUGGCCUUAGUGAUGUUCUGCAUGCAGUCUGGUAGGACUCCAAAUAGUUGAAAUUGAUUUCAGAAUUUUGGUUAUGGAGUUCUCUCUGUCCCAUGUCAUUCUUUACAUAGUAACUUCUAGUUAGAAGUUGGAAUACUUGCAGACUAUAUUUUGCUAUGUAUCCAGUCUGAUAAACCCAUCAAUGAAUUCAAAUUGUGCUUUUGUUCUGAUGCUACCUUAGUUACAUGCUCCAUCUCUUUAUGGCCACUUUAAUUUAGAACUUUAUCUCUAUAUGGUCUCUUUAAUUUAGAACUUUGAAUAUUGUCAGACUACCACACAACUUUUCCACUUCAGAAUACUGCCGUGUAUUUCCAGAUACAUCUCUUAUAUUUUGUUUUCAUUAUAAUUGCCUCAUAUUCUGUCUGAAAGCAAACAAGUCCUUAUCGUGGGUAUUAUCUGUCUUGUUGAUUUGAUCUCUCCUCAUGCAAGCCUUGCUAGUGAUUUCAAUUUAGUUGAGGCUAGACCAAAACAUUUGGUUGGAGAUAUUAGUAAAAAUGUGCUUUGCUGCAACAAAUGCUGCACUGCAGAAGAUGAAAUAUGUUUCGGGGCAAUGAGAUUCAAUUUUUCAGAAACUUGCACUACGGUUCAUUGCUAGAAUAUUAUUGACGUUUCUCUUGCUAUGAGAAUACGAAUGACCAACCAUUUUACGAGUUCCAGCAAUUGUAAGGUUAUAUUCUUAAGCCACCAUUUGAUAUGCCAGCCUCAUGUCCAGUCCACGCAUAAUUCCUGUCUACUGUAGAGCUCACGAAAAAAGGAAUAAAAUCUGAAUGCUGUUGGAUCCAUUCACUUAAUUGAGAUGAAAUAUGUUUCGGGGCUUGAUUGAUUAUCCAUUACUAAGCAUCAGGGUGCCUGCUGCAAGUAGCUCUCUACCAUGAACCCGGUCAACAUGAAGGAUCCAUACCUAAGUAAAGAGGAGUCUCAAUUAGUGAGCUCUUUACUAAUUGACGCUGGCUGCUGCAGGCACCACAGAGAUUAAAAAGGUGAAACAUUCUUGUUUGCGCACCAGGGGAAUGGAACAGUGCCGUGGGAGGGUACUAUGAUACCACUAAACUAGAUGCGCUGGGCGCUGCCUGCUGAGAGUACAUUGUUUACCAAGCCUAUCAAGGCCAGAUCCCUCUUGGUGUCUUGUGUUUUUAAAGUGUUUUUUUAUUAAUAUGAAUAUCCGGGCCAGUUUACGCGUAUCUUAAUUAAUCCUACGGGUUUUAAAGUUAAUGAUCAUGUAAGUCUUCAGUGAUCCUGAGAGGACUCGAACUCGUGGCUACUGGGGAGCAAACUCAAGAUCUAACCCAAGAAUUCAAACUCGAACUUGUGCUGGCUUUUUUAUUUAUAGGCAGUGGUGUAUCUUCUUCAUAAUUAGAUCUUAUAUACGGUCAGUGCCGGAUGUCCAUGAAGAACUCUAAAGAUGGAAUUCCUUGAAUCCAUAUUCAUAAUUGUCACACAAAGGAGACGGAGGGGUAAGCCAUCCAUAUCCAUAUGAUAGUGUGGAAAUCAUGGAUGGCUUCAGGCCUGUAAGCUUGUCAAAGCCAAUUCUCCUCCUCCUCCUCUUCUUCUUCUUCUUCUUCUUUGGACGUACCUUUAGCUAGCUUUGAUUAAAAUACAAUAAUCCUGUCAUUAUCAAGGGAUUAUGGAAUAUAAACAGGAAACAAAGCAGCCCCCCUAAUUUGUUCUUAAGCAGGAAUUGAAUUGAUCCUACAUUCUCAAUGUUUUUAUUUCUUUAGUACUUUAUUCUCCAUAUCAUUGUGAAUGGCCUCAUUCUUUCUCCUUUAAUCAAAGUUAGGCAUAAAUUAGCCCAUUUAUUACAUAAAAUCAGAUAAGCUAAUAAUUCUUCUUUACCUUUAAAUUUAUUCCCUUUAUAGCCAACAAUUAAUCAAUUCCCCCUUUCUUUUUAAUUUCUAGAAGUUCCCAUUGAAAAAAGAAUUACUCAACUCUCAUGUGAUUAGUAUAACACAAUUUUGUCAUCCAAUCUCCUAACACCUUAGAUUUUAACCACAUGAUUGGAAUCUUGUUUUUGCCCUCUCAUCUUAUUCUAUCUUUAUUCAAGCUUUCUUUUAUAUAUACACACACACAUAUAUCUUCUUUGCAACUUUAGCCCUAAACUCUAUACUAAAUCUAAAACAACCUCUAAAAUUUGUGUCCAUUGCAUGCUAAUCAUGAUCUAAUUUAUAAUUUCUAAAUAGUCCCCAGAUAUUUGAAGUUGCACGAAAAAGGCACUAAAUUCUCUUCUUUAUAUAUAUAUAUAUAUAUAUAUAUAUAUAUAUAUAUAUAUAUAUAUAUUCCAAUUUGGAUAAAAAAAUGAUGUGAUUUUACAUUUUUUAAAUUAAAGGAUCAAAGUGUAUUUAUGUAGUUCUUUGUAGGUUGCAUGGAAGAUGGUAACAUUUCUUCUCCAUUUGAGGACUUAUUUUCAUAAUUACAAUACUUGAGGACCAAAGUAGACUUAUGGACUUAGACUUAUGGACUUAGGAGUGUUUGAGUGCAUCAUUUGCCAAUAGUCUUAAUUGCACAAUAUUUAUAUAUUUCAUAUAUCGUCCUCAUGAAUAUGGGAAUAGUUUAGAUAAGUUAAAAUGUUAGCCACUUUAAUUAAUUAAUAAAUUCCCUAAGUCCAUUCAAAGAAAAUAAAAGAUUCUGCUGAGCAGAAUUAAGAAAACUAAUGAACAAACUUGUCCAAUGAACUUUAAUGAAGACCUAAGUAUUGGAGUCUCAUCACAAUGAUAAAGAAUUAAAGAAUAAUAUUAUCAUGAAUAACCUCGUUACAAUGAUUACAAAAUCUAGAGGAGAAUAAAUUACUAAUUCAAAUCUUAUUAUUUUUAUUUUUCAAUUCACGUAUAAAUCUAUGAUUAAUUGUAUAUCUUAAAUUUACAAGCUUUUUUUUUUCCAUGAACGUAUUAUUCGUAAAACAGGUUCAAGUGUGUGUCUAUGAUAUUAAAGAAAAACAAUUCUAUCAAAUAUUUAAAUUAAUUAGUGACCACCUUCUUGUGAUUGUGAUGUAUAUUUAUACAUCUUUUGAGGAUUGUUAUAAUAUGUGACACAUGGGAAUCCAGGAAAUAUCCAUACACGUACAGUAAUCUUGCACGAAGUGAUUAUAAAUUGUAUUCGUGCUUUAGAAAAAUUCCCCACAUAUAUUCUAAUAUUUUCUUGUGAAAGGCAAACGAUGCUCCAUAUUGUUGAUUCAAAAUCCUUAGCAUUCACGUACGUAUAUCACAAGAACAUUAUAUAUUUAUGGUUAAAAACUAGAGAAUCACGCCAUGGCACAAACCCUAACUAAAGCUUACCAUAAAUCUCAAGAGGAACCCAACAAUUUGCUUUAGUGAUUAAGAUGGGUCGUUGCUUUUCUUCAAAAAAGAAGAGGUUAAGAUGGAAAGGCACGUACCCUUAAGAGAAUAGGGUACAAGUUAACAAGUACCUUGUAGAACUUAAAAUUUGGCCUUUCUAAGGGACAAUGUUCACAUGGGCUUGUAGUAUUAUUGAUUAUGAGUGUGGGAUGGAGCUCUCAAUCAUGUGGAGCCUAGAAUAUAUGAUUCUUAUAUGGGAUUAAAGCAAAGCAUAUUGAGUAUGUUUAGGGAUUUGGGGGUACAAAAUGUUGCUUUAUUAGCUUUAUAGCAAGAAAUACAAAGAGUCUCAAAAAAUUGCUAGAAUUUGUGAUUUGGCAUGUCGACGAACCUCAUAGUAGGUUUUGGUGGGUUUGACGAAUCAUCGUUAUCCUAGGUGGACUCAAUGGCAUAUGGGGUGGAAAGUAUUCCUUGAUGCCGUCUCACUAUCACCUAAAUCAUGCUCUCCAAAGAAAUUAAGAAAAAGAUUGAGUUCCUAUCAUUCAAUCCCAAAAAAAAUAUGCGAUUCAUGGGAAUUUGGAUUCAUAUACAGGCAUUCAAGCUUCGUCUUAAAUUAACAUAUAGUUUUAAUUGUAAUCUUGGAAUCUGAGUGUCUCCAGGAUCCUAUUCUCUAAGGUUCUGCAAGCUGUACGAGUCAUUCUCCGGAAAAAAAACAACAAUAUCAUCUUCGAGCACCCUAGCUAGCUAGCUUUAAGAUCAUAAUUUGAAGACCAGUAGAAAAGGGACAGAUGCUUGGAAGAAACCAAGAUUAAUUGGUCCAGUAUGGGGGGGAAUAACAGUGAAGAAGAUAAAUAAUUUAUCCAAGCUAGCUAGCAGAAAUCCUUUUCAAGAGAAGGGAAGUGUUGGCUUUGUUGAUGUUAGGUCUCCGUCUGAAGGACCAUUUGCCACGAGGAGGAGGUUGCGAAUUAGGACAUGCUUACGACCAAGGUGCUUGAUAAAGAAAGGAUUUGUCUUAAAAAGCCCUACAUUAUAUGAAUCAUCUUUCAUUUUGUUGGUUGAAUUGGGUGCUAGAAUCUUACAUUACUUUUACAGAAUUCCAAGUUGUUGCUUGCUUCUCCACGGACAUUGCCCUAUUUUUCUCCUAGCUUUAUGUAGACAAAUUGCACGUUAUUGGUUAAUCCAUAAAAAUCUCUCCCAAAAAAACUUUUAAAUGUCAUGCAUGCAUGGCCCUAAUUAUCCACCUGCUUUCAUUUGCCUCUAUAUAAUUUGGAAGAGCUCCAAGAAAAUAUCUCGAGUGAAUUAUUGAGGUAUGUUGUAGGGUUCAAGGAAUAUAUAUAUAUAUAUAUAUAUACACACACGCACCAGCUGUAGAAGAAGAAAACUUCUCUAGGAGAUUAUUUUAUGUGCGUGGAUAUGAGAUAAAUUAAUUAGUUUUAAAGAACAAUGUGAUUCUCUUGAGAGAAAAAAAGAUUACAUCGGAUUUUUUACAUGGAAUAAGCUCUUUAAUUAUAUACAUAAACCUUCUCAUAAUAAUAAGGGAUUAGAUGAUCGUUAUGGGAAAAUAUUAAUUAUUUGUCUCGGAACAAACCCUAUAUUUUCACCAAUUCAUCAAAACAAGUCUUAUGCUAUCAAUUGAAUUGAUUAAUCCUUAUUGUGGUUAAUUUCAAUAUUAAUUGAGUAUAACUUAUCAAAUUGAAAUUAAAAAAAAGAUAUUUUUUUUAUUAACGUUGGUGUCCGGACCAGCUUGCGCGCACCUCGAUUAAUCCCACGGGCCCUGAAGUUAACGACCAUGUAAGCCUCCAGUGGCCAUCAUAUUAGCAACCAUAGAGCUCGAACUUGAGAUCACAGGGGAAGCAAACCCCUUGGUCCUGACAAAUUGAUGAUAAUAGAAGAAGUUUUUUAAGGAAUUAGUGAAAACACAUGAUGCAAUAAUGCGUUUAAGCAUAUGUCUUCAUAUGAGUCAUCCAACUAAUUGUUACAAAAACAACUCCUUUUUAGUCAAACCAUCCAUACUCAGAAUGCAAACGAAGAGAAAUAAACAUUUAAUUACUUAUUAAUUUCAUCAAUAAUAACUGAGAAGGGAAAGGACUUAAAAGUGACACUUUUAUUUAUGACACCAAUAGCUUUAGGGUUUUUAAACUUCAUAUAUUUUUGCAUAAGACUUCCGAUUGGAUUUAUUUUUCCAUCUCUAAUUAUUUUAGGAUAGAUAGAUUUGACCAACAAAUUAACUUCAUUAGGUAGCUCAACUCCCCUUGGACCUUUUGUUUAUUUGUUUUGUUACAUGGAAGAUGCUCAAAUUUAAAUUUUUUUUUCAUAGAAGGAAUUAAUUGAGGACAAUAAUAUUAUCAUUUGAGCUAGAAAACAACAUUACAUACUAGUGUUCUUAUAUAUACACACACACACACACACACAUUAGAUUAUUGACCUUGUGGUGUUUUCUUGGAUGUAAAAGAAAUGUUCGGAUUUGGUAAUGUUUUUAUUCUAGCGGAUUUUUUGUUUUAAUCAUGUGAGAGUUGGUUCGAUGUAACCUAGUUGAAUAUGCGGGUCUAAAAGCAAUCCAUACAACUCAUAAAAAUAUAAUUUGACUAAAAACAAUUCAAGAUGACAUCUUUUUUUUUAAUAUUAAAAUAACAACAUAUUGGAUUGACUUGGAUCAACCCGGGUUAACAUGUCAAAUCCACGACCCGGGUUAUGAGACUAUGAUAACCCCAUAGAAAACAAAUCAAAAUAAAUUAUGAAGUCUAAUUCUCAGUAAAACUAAUGUUGAAUGAUGAAAUUGAAAAAAAUAAUUAAUAAAAAAAAACUUAAAAAAAUGAUCCGAGCUAACCAGUCAAACCUGUAACCCGAGUAAUAAAACCAAGAUAACCCAAUGAAAAGAAAAUCGAUUAAAAAAUCAAUAAAAAAUAAUAUAAAAAAACUCAUGACCCUGGUCAUUAGAUUGAGAUAACCUCAUAGAAAAAAAAUGAUCAAAUUUAACCCGGGUUAACCUCCUAAAUUUUGAUCACGAGACUGAGAGAUAACUCCAUGGAGAGCAAAUCAAAACAAAUUAUGAAGCCCAGUACCCAAUCGCUCCUGUCGAAUCUAAUGUUAAAUGAUGAAAAUUUUAAAAAUCUUAAUUAUAAAAAUUACACAAAAAAUAAGCCAAGUGAACCCGGGUUAACCCGUUAAGCACUAUUCCAAAGUCAUAAGGCUGAGAUAACCUAAAAAAAAGCAAAUAAAAAAAAAUCAUGAAACAUAAGGCUCAAUGAAACAUAAUAUUAAAUGAUGAAAUUUGAGAAAAAAAUCAAUUAAAAGAAUUGAGUCAAUUGGGUUAACUCGCGACCUAGGUUAUGAGAUGGGGACAAUCCAAUAAAAAGAAAAUCUAAUUUUGAAGGACCCAUGACUCGGGUCAUGAGUCCAAGAUAACCUUUUAGAGAUAAGAUAAAAAAAAAAGACCCAAUUUAAUUGAGGUUAAAAUGCUAAAAAUAGCGACUUUGAUCAUGAGACCAUAUAUCCCCAUAGAAAGCAAAUCAAAACAGAUUAUGAAGCUCAAUUCCCAACUAAUCCAGUGUUGAAUAAUGAAAUUGGGAAGGAGAGCAACCCAAUCUAGCCAAUCAUUUAUCUUCUCUAGCUGCUUGAGCAUCAGUUCACAUGCCCCCAUCUAUGGCGGCGCGUGAUCUCCAUACAUUAGUAGUGUUCAACAAUCUCACUAAAUUCCAGUAGCUCAUCUUGACCAUUGAGACCUUUCUAGAAGGUGUUAUUUGAAUUUUGGAUGAUUUUGUAUUUGUUAUUGUGCAAAUUAUGUAUAGGUAAUUGUAAGUGUAUGUGUGAGUGAAUUAGUGAAAAUGAUGGUGUGUGUGUGUGUGUGUGUGGGGUGUAUGGUUUUAUUUUUACAAGUCUUAAAAUAAAGAACGAAAAAAAUACUAGAAAAAUUAUGGCCAAGCAAAAAACAAAAAGCCUAAAAACUGUGUCUUUUGCAUAAUUUAAUUUUUUUUUUGUUAAAUAUUAUGUUUAGCAUAAAAAAAAUCAUUUUAUGUGUUUUAACACACACACACACACACACACACACACACAUAUAUAUAUAUAUAUAUAUAUAUAUAUAUAUAUAUAUAUAUAUAUAUAUAUUUGUGUUUUUGGCAUUGGAAUAAAAAAAAAACUAUGUUUUGUAUUUGCAUGUAUUUUUGAGCUUCAUAACAAGUUUAUCAAGCCCAUUAAAAAUUUGGCCCAAAUAAAAUGGCUCAUUGGACAACAUAUAUAUAAAAAACCCUUUUUCAAUAAACAUUGAUAAGAUCUUCGAAUAAAAGAGCCAAAUCCUUUUCAUGUGAGCCUAAUGUUUAUUUUUGUCAUUUUUAGAUCCAAUGCCCAUUUUAAAAUUCAACCCAAGAUUGUUUGAUGUAAGUGGAUUGAUGACGAGCAUUGACUUUCGGUAUUUACUAGCACUAGAGUUAAAAAUAUCAACCCUGAUAUUUAUAACACUAGAGUCAGAAAUAUCAAUCUCAGUAUUUACUGAUGUCAGAGUAAAAAAUAUUGAUUCCAAUAUUUACUGACGCUAGAGUUGAGAAUAUUAACAUGAAAUUUACUAACAUCAAAGUUAUAAAUACUAUAGACAAACCAUGAUAGCAUAACACAACAAACCAUUAGCAAGUUAAGACAAAAUCAUUAAUGCAGCUUACCUUAGGUAGGAUGUUUUAAGGGUGAUAAUAUCUUUUCUUUAGCAUAACCAAUCUCGUACCAUAGAAUCUUUGAAGACCAGUUAGGGUUCCCAGUGACCAUAGUGCUAGGUGGCGACUCCAUAAACAAGACAUUUCUCCUAUAAGAACAAGAUGUCAUAUAUCUAUUAUGUUUUUUUUAAAGAAAAUUAAUGGUCACCGUGAUGUCGGGUUUUACAGAAUGACUACUCUACUGGGGAUUUUUUUUGGACUAAGCUUUUCUUUCUGUUUGUUAAUUGCUAUAAUGUUUGUUAUGUUGUGUUCAUUUGGUUUUUUUUUUAUAUAUAGCUUUUGCAUGAAUAUUUAUUCAUGUUAUUUUGUAUGUAUUGGAUAUGGAUUUGUGUCUUCACACAUUACUCACUAGGCAUUGAAUAUACACAAUAUCAACUUUAGGUUAGGUGGAGAAGUAGUGGCACCCUAAUGGUUUUAACCCGGGUAAGACUCGUGAAACUAUCCAACUCUUGCUUGAUUGUUUACUCGAUAUUGGUUGAUACAUCAAUCUGAUAUUAUUUAGGGACUCUAUCUUCACACUUCUUGUAAGUCUUAUAUUGUCCUUUAAUGAUCACUAAGCAUGUGAAAGACCCUUUGAAACUAGAUAGUAACCUACCCCAUGCACUUAAUGGCUAGAACCUACCUAUUAGGUUAUGCCCUGUAUAAAUUUCACCAAGGCAAGCUUAACCUAUAGCAUCUUGAUUACAUGACUUGUGGGUGACAUAAUGACCACUAAUCAUGAGAUCAUAACUGUUGAGUAUAGGUUUAAAUUUAAAUCACUGCAGUUGACUAAGAAAGAUUGCCCUAGAAUAGAUAUUAGUGGGAUAUCGCUGCUUAGGGAUGUAAGAUGUGUAAUAAAUGAUGCCAACAAGUUGGUUCAACUUACCAAGUAUCUAAAAGAUGAGAUAGAAUUUACCAAGAUCUAUAGGAAGAUUUUGCACCUUUUAAAAGUGUCAGUGCUACCAUUAGCCAUAAAAGCUUUGAUACAUUUUUGGGACCCUGAUUAUCGGUGCUUUACAUUUGGAGAUAUCAAUAUGGUGCUAACUAUUAAGAAAUAUGAUGUCUUGACAUAUUUCCCUGAAGAUGUCCAUAAGCUAUACUUUAACCAAAGAAUUGAGAAUACUAUGGAAAAGUUUGCUAAGCUAUUAGGAAUCCAUCAAAUGAACCAAUAUAGAGAAAAGAAUAACUCUACGGGUUUAAGAUAGAAAUGACUAGAGGAGCUGCUAGUUGUAAAAAAGUCUAAUCCGGAUGCUAGAAUAAAGAAGUGUAGAAUAUUGGCUUUACGAGUAUUUGGACUGGUACUGUCUCUCUAUACUGUUGAAAUUGUCAGUUUGGAAGCAGCAAAUUUGUUUGUUGAGUAUGAGAAUACCAAGAUUAAUCCCUCUACUGUAAUUUUAGAUGAGACAAUCCUAUCUCUUAACCAUUUUAAAAAGAUUGGGAAAGGUUCUAUGAGAUGUUGUGUCUCAUUGCUAUUUAUCUUGAUGGUAAUUCAUAUUGACGCUGAGACUCCAAUAUUUAGAAGUUUUUGGUGGUUUAACAAAAAACAACUCUAGUUAUUUGUAUUGAAAGAGUGGGAUAACUUUUUUGAAGAGAACUGAAGGAUAAAGUUGAAAGAACUUUCACAAAGCAAUUUUAAUUGGAGAGCUCCUUGGAUGAGAGAUAAGAAAUGUUUAAUGGGCUAUGGAAAGAAACCUUGAGUGCCAUUAAUUGGAAUCACUGGAUACAUAAACUAUGAACUUGUUUUGGUUACAAGACAGCUUGGGGGCAUACAAAGCAUUCCUAGGACAGUUAGUAUAGCUCAAUUUUCUAGAGCAUACAAAGGAGCUACUAUAGAGAUGGUAGAGAGCAUUAGACAAGAUUGGAAAUCCUUGGUGCUAAUAAAAAAGGGAAAUUAGAGUAAGGAAUCCUACAAUUAGUGAAAAAUACCCUAGAUGGCAUAAUGAAGAAGUCAUUAACACAGUAAGAACUUCUGAAGCUAGGGGCAACUGAAAGAAGAGAAUGGAUAGUGAGGAGUAAUGAAGAGAACAAGUAAAGGUGUUACAAACUGAACUCAAAACAAAUGAAGAACUAAGAAUGUCUUUAGAGCAACAGUUAGUAAAAGAAAGGGCUGCAAGAAAAAUAGUUGAGGAAGAAAGGGUCUCUGUGGGUUAAGACUAGAUGAAGGCAAUGAAUGAGUUAGAGACACGAAAAGCAUCCGAUCAAGACAUGGUAAAUUAUGUAGAAAAAGCUAAGUAUUAGGAAGAAUUAGUUACCAAGCCUCAAACCACACUAAACAUUCGUCUAAAGGAUCUAGACAAGCUUAAUGCCCAAUUAGAAAAAGCUGAGGUUGAAUUAACUAGUGCUAAGAAGACAACUAAAAUUUAUGAAGAUUUGAUAACCAAGAAAAAUAUAAAGACUAAACAACUGUUAGAGAGCUAAAUGAUGAUAGAAAACCACAAUCAAAUACUAGAUACUACUAAUAACUUUUUAUUUAGAAACAAUUUGAUCAUUGCUAAAAGGAUAAGAAAGUUGCAAGAGCAAAUUGAUCGAGCUUCUGUGGAGGUUCAUAGGCUAUGAGUGAAGGUUUACCAAGUUGGAGGAGACAUCAUGAAGUAUCGAAGAACCAUGGAUACUAUCGAUGUUUUUUUUUAAAAUCUAUAGCUAAUAAAGGCAAUGCCUUUAAUCUUAUGUAAUAGCUAGCUAGAGCAAUUUCUUUUGUAAUAAAAAAUUCUUGAUGAUUAAUAAAAGGGAUGAGACCCACAUUUGCUUCAAAAAAUGUGUUUGGAUGUCUUUUUGUAUGGCUAAAAAUCCAAAUCACAAAAGAUUAGGCAAAUAUCCUCUCGGCAUUGUAGCAAGGAUAUCAGAUUCUAGUUUGACUGCAUAUCCGAAGAAUAGCGACCAUAUGUCACCCCUCGAAGAGUGAAUCCAUAUCCAAUAUGCUUUUCUUAUAUAUUCAUACUCAUGCAUCUUUUACAAAUGCUUAUAAAUUGUCAUAUUCUAUAUAUACAGGUGAAAUAUAAGUUCUCCAUUAAGACGCACCUAUAACACUCAACUGCGAAAAAGACAGAUAGAAAACGAAGAAAGAUCUCAGUUAGAAGUCCAACACCAAAAGGAGUUGGAAAGUUUUAAGAAAGAUGUAGCAAGACUUACUAGUCUACUCGAACAAGCUUUAAGGUUUAGAUCUGGAGAAGGAACAUCCACCUAGUUAGUAUUUACAGCUCAACCUCCAUAUAUGCCCAUAACUCCUUUCAAUCCAUAAAAUAUAGGGGCAAAUAGGAUGUCACCUCCAUCUCAACAUGCUACACAUUUUCUAUCUGCUCAACCAGCAUAUCUGAUAAGGAUACCCUUUACUGUUGACUUGACAAUAAAUGAAUCUCAAAAGGACAAGGAAGUGGAGGAAGACAACCAGAAAAAUUAGCUGCCCUAGAGGAAAGGAUGAGGGCAAUUGAGGAAAAUAACUUGUAUGAGAUGUUUGGUGCCCAAUGUUGUCAUUCCUAAAACAUUUAGAGUGCCACAAUUUGUUAAAUAUACUGGAACUCAAUGCCCGAUAACCCACCUUAAAAUAUAUUGAAAUAAAAUAGUCGAGGUGGUACAUGGUGAGAAAUUAUUGAUUCAUUUUUUUCAAGAUAGUUUGAGUGAUGCUGCUUUCACUUGGUAUAUGCAAUUAGACAAUACCAAGUUAAAAAAGUGGAAGGACUUGGUUGAUACCUUCAUUGGGCAAUAUAAGUUAAAUAUGGAUGUAGCCCCUGAUAGAUCAAGUUUAUAAGCUAACAAAUAACUAGACAAACAAUACCUCUCGCACAUGAAAAAAUUUCAAAGGAAACCAUGAACAACUUCCACCACUUCCUAUACCUCUCCGUGAAAUGUACCAAAGGCUACUUAGUAUUGGCCAAGUUGCACCUCUUUCUUUAACACCUUUGCAACCUUCAUUCCUUUAUUGGUAUAAACCUAACCAAACAUGUAAUGUCAUGCUAGUAUCACUGGUCACAACAUUGAUGGUUGUGUUGCAUUUAAUAAAAGAUCCUUCAACCCAUCAAGGCCGGGUGGAUUACCUUUGAUGAAUCCUCGAAUAUGAAUUCUAACCCACUACCAAACCAUGCUUUUAGAAAUGGAGGAGUUAAUACCUUGAAGUAACAAUGGAGAGGAUGUAUGAGAUGUUGAAACAAGCUAGAUAUCUCAAAAUACCAUAAAAAACAUAGGCUCUAAGAGAUAUGAAUGAAUAUUAUAAGUAUCACCAGCACUUUGGACAUGAUAUUGAUUCUUCUGAAGAAUUUCAUUCUAAGGUAGAAAGCAUGAUGAUGUUGGGAAUGUUGAGAAUGGGUGGUCCAAAAAAAAAUGAUAUAUUAGGGACAAUGAUUGGAUAUAAUAAGAAGGUUGAAGUUUGAAGGUAUCAGCUAAUUAAAUGGGACCCCCGAAAAUGAUUCUGACUAAACCUACAAGUACAACUAGCGGAAGCUAUAAUGCCCUACCUCAUAAUUAUAGGUAUUCCUUUCAUAGUAAAAAUCCUGCCUCUAUUUUUCAUGCUGAAAUAAAAGGGCUAACUCGAAGUGGGAGAUGUUUUACUACUGAAAAGCUGAAAAUCAUAAGAAAGCCAAAGGAAAGAAUGCGGUAAAGUUGGCAAAGAUGGAUGAGGUUAAUAAGCUAGUAAGCGAUGAAAAGGCUAGUGAGUUUUUGAAGUUAGUGAAGCAUAAUGAAUAUGGCAUGGUGGAUCAAUUGAAGAAAACACUCGUUAUGAUUUCUUUGUUAUUAUUAGUUCUAAGUUCAGAAUUGUAUAGGAACGCUCUUCAGAAAGUUCUUAAUGAGGCAUAUAUUCCUCAAGACAUCAUACAAGAUUUUAUAUAACAUUUGGUGGAAAAGAUUUAGGCCAUCAACUACCUUUACUUUACUAAUGAUGAGCUUGAUCCUGAAAGGACCAAUCAUAACAAACCACUGUGUAUCACGAUAAAGAGCAAGGAUUGUGUGAUUGUUAAGGUGCUCAUAGGCAAUGGUUCUGCUCUAAAUAUACUAUUAAGACAUGUGCUUGAUAAGAUGCUUAUUGAUGACUCUUAUAUAAAAUCGAGUACCAUGACUGCCAGAGCAUAUGAUGGGUCACCUAGGCCAAUUAUUGGGAAUAUUGACCAAUUAUUAGGAAUAUUGAUGUUGAACUGGUCAUUAGUCCUCAACCAUUCUAAGUGACAUUACAGGUGAUGGAUAUCCAUCCCUCAUAUAACAUGUUGUUAGGAAGACCUUGGAUAUAUGCAGCCCAAGUUUAUCAUCAAUGGGAAUUUAGUGACCAUAAAAGCUGAAGAGGCUUUGUUUAUAAUAAAAAAUGUGUCAGUCCCUUACAUUGAAGUUGAAAAAAGUGCGGAUGAAAAUCUCCAUGCAUUUGAGGUUGUAAAUGCCUAAUGGGCACCUGAAAAUAAGGUAUGAAGAAAGCCAUAAAUUUCCGAGGAAACAAAAAUAGUUGCUAAAUGCUUUUUGAAACAUGGGUUGCCAUUCCAAUAUAACUCGACCAAAGGAAUUCCUGAAAGGAUUAAUAUGAUGAAAAUGAAGUGUGUUGAUCAGAGGUUUAGCUUAGGUUUUAAGCCAAGAAGGAUAGAUUACAAAAGAGCAGUCAAUAUUAAAAAAGAAAGGAGAUUAACCUAAAUUGAAGGAAAUAGGCCCAAUAAAGACGGGAAAGAGAUCCCACCUAUUCACAUAACAUUUCCAUGAUUUUCACAUGUAAUAAGGGUUGAAGAUGAGUUGGAAAGUUUGAGAAAGGAACUCAAUGGUGCUACUAUCAACUAUCUUGAAGGAUUUAAAGAAGAAGACCAUAAAAGAGACCUUGAGACUAGAAAAAAUCCUCAUGAACUGUUGCCUCAACUGACCAUCGACACUUUAGAAGAUGUCCCAUUUGAAUUUGUGAGAAAGUUUGCUUAUUAGGAAGAGUUGAAAAAUUAGGAGAUCCAGGAAGUAAAGUUGGCUAAUGGGGAAGAGUUAAACAAUUGAGAGAUCCAGGAAGUCCAGAUUGUUUUCAAAAAGUAAUAAUAUGCUUUAUCUAUAUGCUUUUGUUUUGAUUGAAUAAUAUACCUUACCAAUAAUCAUGCUUCAAGAUAUUGGCAAUAAGGCUUUGUUGUUAAGCCUUUUCUCUUUUAAAAUUUUAAUGGGAUCAUGCAUUUUUCUUUCAAUUAUGCCGUUUUACUUUGCCUAUUUAUUUUCCUAAAUAUAAACCAUACACUCAUAACCAAAACACUUUUCGCUUUCAGGAAAUCUGAAAGCGGAUCGUUGAUAAACUCAUAAACCCACUACAUUGACAAUAAUUGACCUAACUUUGAAAAACUAUAAUUGCAAUAUAUGAGAAAGGAUGUGAGAAGGAAGACAUCAAAGAGUUUACAAAGCUAGUAGAACAAUUUGAGUAUACAUGGGAGCUUGCAGAAGAAGAGCUAGAAUUGAUAAAUGUAGGCACUAAGCAAGAUAAAAGAGAAUUGAAAAUUAGGAUGUUAAUCACUGCUAAUAUGAGAAAUGAGUUGGUUGCUUUUUUACAAGAAUAUAUUGAUGUUUUUACCUGGUCAUAUGUUGAUAUACCUAAUUUAGAUACUGAGAUUAUAGUACAUAAGUUACCGUUGAUAGAAGGUUGUGAGCCAAUCAAAUGAAAGUUAUGGAGGACAGGACCUAAUAUAUUGAUCAAGGUUAAGGAAUAAGUAAAAAAACAGUGGGAUGUUAGAUUCCUUGAAGUAGUCAAAUACCUUUAAUUAGUGUCCAACAUUAUAACAAUACUUAAAAGGACAAUAAGAUCAGGAUAUAUGUGGACUUUAAAGAUUUGAAUAAAGCAAGCCCGAAAGGUGAUUUUUCUUUACCCCAUAUGGAUGUUCUUGUGGAUAAUACUGCUAAAAGUUCUACCUACUCUUUCAUAUAUGGUUUCUACGGGUAUAAUCAGAUUAAAAUGGUCGAGCAGGAUAAGGAGAAGACUACAUUUAUCACUAUAUGAAGAACUUUUUUACUAUGAAGUGAUGUCAUUUAGGUUAAAGAAUGCUAGAGCAACUUAUCAAAGAGUAAUGGUGACAUUUUUUAUGACAUGAUGCAUAAAGAAAUUGAGGUGUACAUGGAUGAUAUGAUCACUAAGACUAAAGAAGAAGAAAAUCAUAUCCAAACUCUGAAGAAAUUGUUCAAAAGGUUAAGGAAAUACUUGUUGAAGUUAAUCCUUAUAAAAUGCACAUUUAGGGUGAAAUCGAGGAAGCUACUAGGGUUUGUGGUAAGUAAUAAUGGUAUAGAAGUAAACCCUGAUAAAGUAAAGGCCAUACAAGCUAUUUUAGCUCCUAAGUCUGAAAAGGAAGUUCAAAGCUUUUUGGGGGGGCUUAAACUAUAUUGCUCGAUUCAUUUCACAACUUACAGCUAUUUGUGAACCAAUCUUCUGAUUACACUGAAAAAAAAAAUCUUAGGGUAUGGGAUUAAGACUGUCAGGAUGUCUUUGAUAAGAUUAAAUAGUAUUUCCAAAAGCUAUAUUUAUUGGUACAAACUGUGCGUGGAAAAGCUCUUAUCUUGAUUUAACAAUGACUGAAUCAGCUAUAGGUUGCGUGUUUGGACAACAUGAUGAGUUUGGAAGGAAGGAGCAGGCUAUAUAUUACCUUUGUAAGAAAUUCACUGAGUGUGAAUCUCGCUAUAAUAUGAUAGAGAAGUUGUGUUGUAAUUUGGUAUAAAAUGCAAAGAGGCUUUAACAAUACUUGUUGUACUACACCACUUGGUUGAUCUCAAAUAUGGAUCUUCUAAAAGAUAUAUUUGAAAAGUCUUACAUGUCAAAUAGAAUAGCAAGUGAAAAAUAUUGUUAGUUGAAUAUUAUAUCAUCUACAUGACAAGAAAAUAUAUGAAAGGAAGUGCAAUUGCUGAUCAUUUAGCUAAUAAUACCAUUAAGGAUUAUGCAUUGAGAUUAAGAGCUCUCAUACUUAUUGUUGUUUAGUAUAAGAGGAAAUAGAUGAAAACCUUUGGUAUACGGAUAUAAAAAGAUUCAUCCAAUAUCAAGAAUAUCUCUUGGGAGCAUCAAAUGUGGAUAAGAAAACCAUGAGGAGAAUGGCAAUAUAGUACUAUAUAGAUGGGGAAAUCUUAUACAAAAGGUCAUUGGAUGAGACUUUACUAAGAUGUAUGAAUGAGUCAAAAGUUAAUAAAGCCUUGCGAGAAGUACAUAGAGGAAUCUACACCACAUAUGUGAAUGGACAUGUGAUGACUAGGCAAAUGCAAAGAGCCAAGUAUUUUUGGAUGACUAUAGAGAAAGAUUGCAUAUAAUUUGUCUAAAAAUAUUAUAAAUGUCAGGUGUAUAGUGACAAGAUCAAUGCACCUCCAACAACUUUAUUCAACAUGGUAUCACCCUCGCCAUUCAUAAUGUGAGGAGUAGAUGUGAUUAGGUUGAUUAAUCUAUAAGCUAGCAAUGAACAUCGGUUUAUCCUUGUAGUAAUUGAUUACUUCACAAAAUAGGUAAAAGCCUGCUCCUGUGCCCAUGUGACUCAAAAGGUGGUCAAGUGAUUCAUUGAGAGAGAUCUAAUUUGUAGGUAUGAUUUACCUAAAAAAAUAGUGACCGAUACUGCCCAAUACUUUAGUGGAAAGAUGAUCGUAAAAUUAUGUGCUAAAUGUAAAAUCAAGCAUUCUAAUUCACCCCUUUACAGACCAAAGAUGAAUGGCGUUGUUGAAGCUGCUAAUAAGAACAUCAAGACGAUUGUUUAGAAAAUGAUGGUUACCUACAAAGACUUGCAUGAAUGGCUUCCUUAUGCUCUCUAUGCAUACCGAAUAGUUGUAAGGACAUCAACUGGGGCUACACCUUAUUCACUAGUUUAUGGGAUGGAGGCAAUGAUGCCUUUAGAAGUGGAGAUUCGCUCUUUAAGGGUCCUCAUAGAAUCUAAGCUUAAGGAGGUUGAAUAAGCUAAAAUAUGAUAUGAGCAACUAAACAUGAUUAGUAAGAAGAGAUUAACUGAAAUUUGCCAAAGAAAGAUGGCUAAAGCAUAUGACAAAAAAGUCCAACCAAGGGGGUUCAAGGAAGGAGAUCACAUGUUAAGAAACAUUCUACAACUACCUGGCGAAGACCAUAGUAAAUGGGCUCUAAAUUAUGAAGGUCCGUAUAUAGUGAAAAAGACAUUCUCAAGAGGAGCAUUAUUAAUGAUAAAAAUGGACGAGGAAGAUUUGAUUAGGCAUGUAAACUCUAAUUUUGUAAAGAAAUAUUAUCCAUCAUGUGUAAGUUUUCAUCAAAUCAAUAAAACAAAGUUCUAACUAAGAAAUUCUCUUUCCAUAUCUUUCAUUUCUUUUAUGCUUGUCGAUACCAAAGAACCUGCAAAUACACCUUUGCAGUCUUACAUGAUCUUAUAGACCCAGCUCAUUUCUUUUACCAAAAAUCUUUUCUUAGUGGAAUUUUAAAAAUUUAAACUUGCUUUUGACUUUAGAAAUAAUUCAAUGUUUGUUUAAAAUAACAUUUGACAUUUUAUUUAUAAGAUGACAGAUAAAUCAAAGAACUCUCUCAUUGAGGUGACCAAAUUCUAAACUAGAAUAUAUGAAUUGUAAAACAAACAAUCACCUUCACACUAUGUCUUUUGAGUUAUGUUUUAAAUGUAUAUAUAAUGAUAUGUAGUAGAUUCGUUGUUCAUAGACUUGUGAAACACAUAUCUUUGCAAAGUUCAAACCAUUACACUAAACAAGGUCAAAGUUUAUUGGUUUUAACUACUUGUGCUUGAAAUAAGAAAAGAUUAUAUUAAUCCUAAGGGGUGUAGCUCAACUGGUUAGGCCCUGUGUUUGCUUCCUAGAGGUCACCAGUUCGAGUCUCACAAACCUCAGGGCAACUGGAGGCUUACAUGGUUGUUAACUUCAGGGCCUGUGGGAUUAGUCGAGGUGCGCGCAAGCUGGCCUGAACACCCAAGUUAAUCUAAAAAAGAAAAGACCAUCUUUGUUAACCUUUUCACAUUCUAAAAUGAAUACAUCCCUUGUGGUUUCCUUUUGCAACUGAAUAAAUUUUCUUUGAUGAAAAAUCCUGACUAAGAUCACACUCUUCACUAGAGAAAAGUGAAAUUUUAAUAAUCAAUAAUUGAUGAAAAGUUGUGAGAAAACCAAAAGGAAAACGAGCCUAAAAGACUUAAAUGCUAGGGGGUGCAUGCCUAUAUCAAAAGCAAAAGUGAUAGUCAAAAUAAAAUGAGGAUGCCCUACCAAAAUAAUAAAAAAGGGCAUAUCAAAGAAAAAUGGCAAAAGAAAAAAAGAUUGAAAGACACAAUGAGUCAAGAAAAUGAUAAUGAUCCUGAGUCUUUAAAACCUUGAAAAAUUGUGAGCCUUAUAAAUCCCUUUCUUUCAUAGCUAAGAGCCAUAACCUACAUAACAUACCUUUAAAAAUCCUUUCUAAUCAAGUAAGCAAACAACCUUGACCAAUAAACAACGCUAUCAAAAUGCAAAAAACUUUUUCAUAAUGGUCAUGACAUUGCGAACAAGCUACCCCUUAUUAUUUCUAUUAAUAAAAUGAGUGAUAAAAAAAAGGAGAUAAUUUGCCUCAAACAAAACCUCAAGCUUUUACUCAAGGCUUUUGCUUUGAAACCCAUAAAAAUAGAAGGUCAUCUUAUCAUGUACCUGCACCAAUUUCAUUCUCGUUGACAAAAGAACAAGUCAUUCAUUUUCAAAAUAAUUCUUAGGGAGUUGUAAGAUUUCAAAAGCAAAUUGUUUUAAACUCACAUCGAAACAAUUUUCAUGACUCAAACAAAUGAUUUCUAAAUUCAUUCUGGAUAAAGAUUUCUUCAAUGAAACCAAGCAAAAAAAAAAAUAGAGAGAAGGGUUAGUCAAAACCAUUAUUUGUUUGAGUCAUUAACAAAAUACAAUCAAGGGGCAAUGGUCAAGACAAGGAGGCAAUGUAGUAUUUAAAAAAGUGGUUUGAUAUCUUCAAAGCAGCAAGGAAGAGAACAAUUCCAACAAUGAGACAAGAAGGCAUUGUUGUUUACAAGAGACAAUUUGAAUCAUUCAAGACAAUAAGUGACACUGAAUGUUUUUAGCAGUGAGACAAGAAAGUAAUGAAUGAUCCUCUCAAAUUGAUCAAUAAGACAGAUAAUUUCCUACAAGUAAAUAGGCCGCGAUGGGUACCAUAAAGGUUGAGUUGUGUAAAAUUAUAAAUAUUCUAGAAAAGACUUACAUGGGUCAACUCGAAUAGGCUAAAAGCCAAACUAUUAAGAGGACUCAAAUCAGAAAUAACAAGACCUCACCAAUCAAUCAACAAAGAGAUUGGGAAGAAAUGAGGGCAUAUAUCUCAAAUUAGGUAAAGAUACAUGCAUAUCAUAUAACUCCAAAGCAUUGAACAAUGUGUUUUGCAAAAUUUACAAAAGAAAUUCUCGAUAGGAUCCAUCAAAAGGCAAGCUACCUUGAAAUGGCAAAAUUUAAAAAUACUUCUGAAAUUUUUUCACUUUUGAGAUUUUUUUAUAUUUUUCACCUAGACAAAUCGCCCAUAGGAAUUAGACCAAACUGAAAAAUCUUUGUGUUUUUCAUCUGUGGGUAGGUCAAUCAUUACAAUGAUACCAAUAUUAAAAAACUUUAAUGUUUUUUCACAAACGGGUAGGUCACUUGGAAAAAUGAGACCAAUCAUGAACAAUAUUUUAUUUUUUCACCUAGGCAAGUCGCCUACGAAAAUGAGACCACUUAAAAAAUCCCCAUAUUUUUCACAGUUGGGUAGGUCACCCUUUACAACGAGAUCAAUGUUGAAAAACUUUCAUGUUUUUUUCACAAACGAGUAGAUCACCUGGAAAAUAAGACCAUUAUUGAAAUCACUUUCAUAUAUUUCAUAAUGGAGUAGAUCACCCAUUACAAUAAGCCCAAUGUUGAAUGCUGAAAUCACUUUCGUGUAUUUCAUAAACGAGUAAGUCACCUGGAAAAUAAGACCAUUGUUGAAAUCACUUUCAUGUAUUUCACAAUGAGCAGGUUGUGUGGAACAAUUAGACAAGUUUUGAAAAAUCUUUGUAUUUUUCACAUAAUAGGCAAGUCACCUAGAACAAUUAGACCACUUUUAAAAAAGGAACUAUUUGUAAUUAAAAGGGGGCAACUGUCAUAACCUAAUUUUAACCACUUUUAAAAUUAGGUUAUGACAGUUACCCCCUCUUUAUAAUAGUUGAAAAAGAAGAAACAAAAUUGGCCCAACCAUGGUGAAAUAGAAUCAGAUCUAAAUAGGGGAAAAUAAAUCGAUUAUGUUUGGGGAUUUAUUUUAUUUGAAUGUGGUAACACUCACUGUUGGUAUAAGAGUGAUGAGGAGAAUGAGAGCAGCCCAAUCUAGUCAACCAUCAUCUUCUCUAGUCGCUGGAGCAUUGGUUCAUGCGCCCCGCCAUGACGACACGUGAUCUUCAUGCACCACUACUAUUUCAACAUUCUCAUUGAAUUCUAGUAGCUCAUCUUGACCAUUCAGACCUUUCUUGAAGGUGUUAUAUGAACUCUGGAUGAUUUUGUACUUGUUAUUGUGCAAAUUGUAUAUAGGUAAUUGUAAGUGUGUGUGAGUGAAUUAGUGAAAAGGAUGGUUUGUGUGUUUGUGUGUGUGUAUGAUGCAUAGUUUUAUUUUUAGCAAGUGUUAAAAUGAAGAACAAAAAAAAUUCCAAAAAAUUUUAACCAUUGAAAAAUUUGCAUUAUGGCCAAGCAAAAAAAAAAAAAAAAAGAGUCUAAAAACUAUGUCUUUUGUAUAAUUUAAUUUUUUUUUGUUAAAUAUUAUGUUUAGCAUAAAAAAAUCAUUUUGUGUGUUUUAACAUAAAAAAAAAUAUUUGUAUUUUUGGCAUUGGAAUAAAAAAAAACUAUGUUUUUUAUUUGCAUGCAUUUUUGGGCUUGAUAACAAGUUUAUCAAGCACAUUAGAAGCUUGGCCCAAGUAAAAUGGCUCAUUGGGCCAACAUAUAUAUAUAUAUAUAUAUAUAAACCUUUUAAAAUAACAUUGAUAAGAUCUUUAAAUAAAAGAGCCAAAUCCUUUUCAUGUUGGCCCAAUGUUUAUUGUUGCUAUUUUCGGGUCCAAUAUCCAUUUUAGAACUCAACCCAAAAUUGUUUGAUGUAAGUGGAUUGACGACGAGUAUUGACUUUCAAUAUUUACUAGCACUAGAGUUAGAAAUAUCAACCCCGGUAUUUACUGAUGCUAGAGUAAAAAAUAUCAAUCCUGGUAUUUGUUGAGGUCAUAGUAAAAAAUAUCAAUUUCAAUAUUUACUAACACUAGAGUCAAGAAUAUUAACCUGAAAUUUACUAACAUCGAAGUUAGAAAUACUAUAGGCAAACCAUGAUAGCAUAACAUAACAAACCAUUAGCAAGUUAAGAAUAUGGAUGAAAUCUUUAGUACAACAAAUCUUAGAGGUUGAUUUGGUUUUUUUAAGGUCAACACGAAAAUCAAGAGAAAGGGAAGAAGGAAAAAAAACAAAAGGUCACACGCGCAACCCCGACCACCAUUGGGCUGUAUACGUCGCUUAUUUGUGGAGCGGACACUAAGACGUAUCAGCCGCUACCUUGGAAUCAAGAUUUUGGUCGCCGCAUGUGCCGUCUGAAAGUGGCAGACAUUGUUCACACAGUUCUGAUUUUUUUUAAUUUCUUUACCAUAUUGCCCCCAAUAACACUUAAUAACUACCAAAUCACCACAUCUAAAUGACAAAAAAACCCCUAAGUCAAAGACAUUUUUUUCUUAUUUUCAAAGUGCAAUAAAGUAACUUGUUUAAAAAUUAAGUCAAAGACUAAAAAGCCUAGUGACCCAAGUUUUUUUUUUUAAUCUUUCAAGGGCAAUUAAGUAAUCACACUAUACAAAUAAAAUGUAAAAAUACCGUCUAACCCCUCUCUUUUAAAUUUGUUGAGAGUUAAGUAUUUUUUAUUGAAUUCAGGUCCAGAAUUUCACAAGUUGCAUGUUUUAGAUAUUAGACCAUAUUUAGGAGGUUCGGCGGGGUUUACUUGGUUUUUGUUUUUUCUUUUUUGAGCUUAUUUUUAAUAUUAGACUUGGUUUAAAAGGUUCAUCUGGGUCUUCUUAGUUUUUUUUUCUUUUUUUUUAAAUUGAUGUUUUUUUUUCUUCUUUCUUGAAGUUUUACUUUUUUAUUUUUUAUGGUUUUUUAUCUAUCAGGUUUUUUUUUAUAUUAUUUAAAUUACCACUUGAAUUAAUGACUCAAGAUUUGGAUUUUUUUUAGUCAAAAAAAACCUUUUCCUACCCCAGCGAAGCGUGCAAGAAACAUAUCUAGUAUCAUACUAUAUAUAUGAAGGAAGAAAAAAAGGUAAAAAGUUGGAGUAAAUGGUCAACAGUUAGGCACAUUUCCUUUUUAUAUAGCAAAAGGAAAACUAACUCCCAUUAAUUUCCAACAAAGCAGAAAUUAAUGAGAAAUGAGAAUCAGCUUUGGGCCCCCCUCACGUUCCCCCACCACAAAACCAUUCCCGAACUAUGGAAAAGGACAUUAUUCUUUUGCAUUCACAUGAGCAUCGAUCGCCAUCCUUUCUACUUAUCAACAUUUUAAUUAUUCCACGACCAUUCAACUCCUUUAAUUGUUGUUUUAAUCUUUUCCCCUCCAAAUAUAGAAGAUCUCUUUCUCUAAUUAGCAUCGUCCAUUGUGCCUUGAAUUACAUAAUUAAUAUUUAGAGAAUAAAAAAAACUCAUGAUUGGAUUUGAAUUUAAUUAAGUCACUUCGAAUUAUGCUUGCAAAAUCAAUCCUUAUUAUUUUUUUAUUUUUUUAUUUUUAUAUAAGUAUUCUCAUAUUCUUUUAAAAAAUAAAACUAGUCUUGUUCAGGGUUUUUUGCUGUCCCUUUCAAUAAGGGUGUUUCCUGAAAAUAGAACUUGCGCGUUUUUAUCCUUGUAAGGAUAUAAUGAUGCCUUAAUCGCUAGAUCAACACUUCGUUAAUAAUUCUUGUUAUGUAGAGAGAGAGAGAGAAGAGGGUAUAAUCCUCAAACGAAAAUCUUGAGUUUAAUCGAUCUUGUAUGGUAUAUGAUGAUAAGAAGAAGUGAUUUUUACCAUCCAUAUAUAGCAUCUUCGUCUCUCUCUAUGACAAACUGCAAAUUAAAACAUUAAUUGUCAUUAAGUGAUUACAAUAUGAUUAACGCAAUGAACCUUAUCUUAAGAACAUUACUUUCAAUGUUGAGAUUAACAUAAUAUUAUACAUCUUUUUUCUU
rnacentral:lncRNA from 1 species